UAAUCAAAAAGAAGAAAAAAUUUCAUUACAUUUCAUUAUUUUCAACUUUCUUUUUUACUCAUCAGAUCAAUGUUUUUUUUUUCUUCUUUCUUUUUCUGUCAAUUAUAUGAUUACAAUUCAAAAACCAUGGGUUGUUGCGCGUGGUCUUGGUUGGUAUCAUUUUUAGCCCACUGUUUUUUUUUUUUUUUUUUUCUUUUUCUUUUUGCUAUAAUUGAAGGGUGGCUGUGGGGUGGGAGAAGAGAGGCUCAAAACAGAAAGAAAGGGAUAACUUUUUUUUCAAAAUGUUAUCGCUUUUCUUUUCUUCUCUUUUCUCUCGUUCCUCCACUCUCCGUGUUGUAAUGAGAAAGAGAAGUUUUCUCUCUUUCAUCGGGGAGCUUUCUCUUUCUUUAUUCAACUACCGAAAGAUUCAGAGACAAAGCGAAGAAAGAAAGAAGAAUAAGAGAUGAUUGACAGAAUCAAAAAGAAAGAUUGGUAUUUACCUCCCAUCAUCAACUAAAAAAAUAUAAUAGAGAUUGGAUAAGUUCGAAAGCAAUCAAAAGUUGUAUAUAUUCUCCCAUGACCUAAAUGGGAUUGGGAAGGGAGGGAAGUCCACCCCACACGUUCAGACUCGACUACGUCGAGGUCAAAUCUUGCCAAAUUCAUGUCCGACCUAAUGGAUAGAGGGUUAGUUGGAUUCGACUCAUAAACUUUGGUUUAGAUGUCUUAUGUUAACUUGUCAUAUAAAUACAUCCUUAUGACUCUAGCUAUGUGGAGUAAGUUCAUUUUCACUCUCCAAACUAGUAGCCUGUUUAUUCUACUCUCUGAUUUAAAAAUUGUUAUAAACAACACACUAGUGUGCAUAUCUUCUUCUUUUGCAAAUGAUAUCAUCUUCCCCCUAAAUCUACAAUUUAAAGUUAGAGAUAUACAUGAAGGUUAGGAUUGAGACUGGGGAUUGAAGAAUGUUGAUCUAUGGCCACCACCAAUCGACGACAACUGUUGGCUACCACCAAUCGUUGGUGAUUGGGACCAACGACCAACGACCACCUUGACAAUGGUCAAUGUCAACAAUAAUUAGUGGCUUGUGAAUGGUCAUGAGUCUAGAUCUCUGACAAUCAACUACCAGGAUUGGUGAUCAAUGACCGAUGUAGACGACCAUAACCAAUAAUUUGUGACCACGACUACGUUCGACAAAGAAUUUUAACAACCACUCAAAUUUGAAGUUAUUAUUUCAUAAUGUUUAAUGAUCAUCUUUAUAAUAAUUUAAAAUUAGUAGAAGUUUUUUUUAGUAUAGAGCAAACCAAACAAUUAUUGAGAAAAUACAACCAAAUAUUGGAGUGUUUUAAUUAUAAACCAUUUUGUUAUAAAAAAAACAAAAUGUCUAAAAACAUGCAUUUACAAUACAUUUAUUUUUGGCAUCUAAAUAUAUCCUUAAUCUUAUGUUUUCUUAUCAUUCCUUGUGAACAUCUGAACAGUAAUUUUAGUUUAUUUGAUUUCAAAUGAAUAUGGUUCUAAAUACAAAUAGAAUUUUGAAAUCAUAGGAUUUGAAAAUCAUCUCUUUAAAUUGAUCUGUGAAAAAGUUUUAGGAAAAAAAAAUUUCAUACUACAUUUUCAUUUUUCCAAAUUUUGAUUUUUUCCCUUUCGAAGUCCCAAUUCAAAUAUUGUUUUAAAAAAUAAAUUAGUUGUCAAACACGAGUAUCUCAUUCUGAGUCCUCCUUACUCCUUCGACCCACUCCUUUGGUCUAGACCCGUCACUGAAGUUGGAGUUGACUUGCAAAAGUACUCGCACCAGUGAGGUGUCGAGCUGAGUAUAUUUUGAUGUCUAAUUUAAUAGAGGGAGUAUCUAGCUCGACAAAGCACAUAUAGAAUUACUUACCCUUUGAGGCUUUAGUAUGUGGGACUAAUUAUAAGGUUCAUCAUUUGAUUCUCGUUUAUGGCAUGUGCAAUGCCGACAAUAUUAGAAUACAUUUGUGGCUCUCAAUGUUGUAGAGUGUUAGUGGUGAGCUCGACUCGAUCAUUUUUCUUUCAAUGAAACUCUACAAAAUUGGUUGGUCGAUUGAAAAAUAAUCCAAACAUUUUUUUUUGACUAAUAUAUAUAUAUUUGAACAUUAGAUUUUGAAACACACUCUUAGCAAGGAAAAAAAAAAAAAGAAAGAAAAAAAGUAAAAUUUAUGAAAAUAAUGUUGUGUCCGAUUUUUCUAUUAAUUUUUUGUUGGAUUUUUCUAUUAAUUUUCUAAAUAAAUUUAUUUAUUUAGAUGAUAAUAUUCUCUCACAAACCAUAGGUUGAGAGAGUUUAUUAUUAUUAUUUUACUUUAACUUUCUAUUCUUUUUAAUGUAUAUGAAAAGAAAGAGACAAGGGCAUUGCACUUUUUCUUGAUACAUCUCAUGUGAAUUUUAUAAUGCAUUAAAUAUGCAAAUUAUGUUUAAAGAUUAUGUUCAACAUAUAUAUGUAAAAAGAUACUUAUCAUUACUUCCAUUUAUAAACUAAUUAAAAUUGUGUGUGGAACCCAAUAAUGAUAUAUAAUUGGUCCUUAUAUACAUCAAAGGAAAAGUAAAGAAGAAAAAGAAUACCAAUUUGCAUUUAUCACUAUGUACUUUUAACCUCAGUUUGGGAUAAAUAAUGUAGUUUUAAUCCCUAAAGUUUAAAACUAAUGUUUAUUUGGUCCCCUUGAAGUUUUCAAACGAAUACUAUAAUCUCUAAAAUUUGAGAAAUAAUUCUAAAUAAUGGUCUCCAAGACUACUCAUUAGUUACUAAUGGUAAAUGAUGUGGGUUGUCAAAUGAUGAGUUAGCUAACCGAUUUGGCAUUUUUUUUAAAAAAAGUUUAAUAUUAUUUCUUUAAUAAUGUUCUCAUCUUUCCUUGUUGUCUAACAUCUUUAACCCUCCUCUGAGAAACCUCCAAUCGUUAUUGCGGUGUCUUUCUCAUUGUCGCAAUCAUCACUAAGUGAAGAACGAGGACCAUCACUGUUGUGCUUAAGUCUCAUCCUUCGUCGUGUGUCCGUUUUGUUAGGAAUGAGAUCGAAGUCCCACAUUGGUUAGAUAAAAGGAUGAUCAUGGAUAUGUAAGUGAUGACAACUAUCUCUAUUGGUAUGAGACGUUAUGGGAUGAAACCCAAAAUAAAAAACAUGCCAUAUGUAUUUGUUUG